AUGAGUGUACCCACUCAGCUCCUGGCAUUGCUGCUGCUGUGGCUUAUGGAUGCCAGAUGUGACAUUCAAAUGACUCAGUCUCCAGCAUCCCUGUCUGCAUCUGUGGGAGAAACUGUCACCAUCACAUGUGAGGCAAGUGAGGACAUUUACAGUGAUUUAAACUGGUAUCAGCAGAAACCAGGGAAAUCUCCUCAGCUCCUGAUCUAUACUGCAAACAACUUGGAAGAUGGUGUCCCAUCGAGGUUCAGUGGCAGUGGAUCUGGGACACAGUAUUCUAUGAAGAUCAACAGCAUGGAGCCUGAAGAUUCUGCAACUUAUUACUGUGGACACCACCUGGUGUCCCCCCUUAGCUUUGGUGACAGCGGAUCAGAGGCAGACAUAUUUCACCUUGCCAUCAUCAGUCUCUAA